rnacentral:rRNA from 1 species
GAUGAACGCUGGCGGCGUGCCUAAUACAUGCAAGUCGAGCGAACAGAUGAGGAGCUUGCUCCUCUGACGUUAGCGGCGGACGGGUGAGUAACACGUGGAUAACCUACCUAUAAGACUGGGAUAACUUCGGGAAACCGGAGCUAAUACCGGAUAAUAUAUUGAACCGCAUGGUUCAAUAGUGAAAGACGGUUUUGCUGUCACUUAUAGAUGGAUCCGCGCCGCAUUAGCUAGUUGGUAAGGUAACGGCUUACCAAGGCAACGAUGCGUAGCCGACCUGAGAGGGUGAUCGGCCACACUGGAACUGAGACACGGUCCAGACUCCUACGGGAGACAGCAGUAGGGAAUCUUCCGCAAUGGGCGAAAGCUUGACGGAGCAACGCCGCGUGAGUGAUGAAGGUCUUCGGAUCGUAAAACUCUGUUAUUAGGGAAGAACAAAUGUGUAAGUAACUAUGCACGUCUUGACGGUACCUAAUCAGAAAGCCACGGCUAACUACGUG